UACGUAGGGUGCAAGCGUUGUCCGGAAUUACUGGGCGUAAAGAGCGUGUAGGCGGCCAAACAGGUCCGUUGUGAAAACUGGAGGCUCAACCUCCAGACGUCGACGGAAACCGUGUGGCUAGAGUCCGGAAGAGGAGAGUGGAAUUCCUGGUGUAGCGGUGAAAUGCGCAGAUAUCAGGAAGAACACCAAUGGCGAAGGCAGCUCUCUGGGACGGUACUGACGCUGAGACGCGAAAGCGUGGGGAGCGAACAGG
rnacentral:rRNA from 1 species